GAAAGAGCAGGUGUCGUGUUGACAGAGACGGUCUUAAUGCUUGGUCUGUCGAUGCUGUGACAGUCUCAGUUCCCAACGCUGGGAAUAGCAUUGGCCAGAAACACCUUGGCAGUGGUUCCAAAGAACCAGUUUAGAAGGUCUUCUAAAGAUGUCAUCCUUAGACCUGACCUGGGCAUCAGGCUUUUUGCUCCCUAGGUGAUUCUAAAGGGCAAAGGUUGGGAACUGUUUCGUUAGAGUUAAAGGAAAAAAAUAAGGGAUGGAGUUAUCAUGUGGUUGACGGGGUAUGGAUUUCCAGAGUGGGGGAUAACCCUAAGGUGGCUUAGAAGGAGGUGACCCGGGACAUGAGGACAUGGUUCCCAUGAAACAAGAAGGCUGAGGUUUGAGGUCUCACAGGGGAGGAGGAGAAAGAUGUGGGAUGAUGGUGAUGCAGGAGGGAAGCGGUGGUUUCUGUACGGAGAAGAAAGAACACCUGGAGGUGGCCACGGGCCGACAGGAGGCUAUGGUAUCACUGACGAGAAGACCAUGUGGAUCCACGAUGUGGCGUCCAGAAGAUGAAACACAAACCAAGGCUCCUGCAUCUCAGCAGCUGAGACACGGCCUCGUGGAGCGAGGACUUCCUGCCCAACUCCGUUCACUGCUCACCAGAAGAGGUGGCCUGGGAGGAGGCUGACGCUGGCCAGCACUACAGGCAGGGAAAGGUUUGACAUCUGCAUCACCCAGUGGAGUCCACGAAUUGGAUAAAAUCUUCUACAAAGAGAGAAUGUUGACCGAGAUGAGAAGCCAAAGACGGGGUCUGCUGAGGGAGGAAGAGCUGGCAGAAGGGGAAGUGGUCAUUGGCGUAGAAGGAGUCCAGAUGGAGGUGUAACGCAGAAACCUGGAGAAGAACACACAGCAGGAAGGAGGAACAGGCCAACCAGGUGGAGUGCAGCUGAGAAACUGUCCUACUCCAUACGCAGGGAUUACCAGUGAGGGAGGUGGAAGGAGAAGCGAUUUUUCCUUUCUUGCUGCUUCACCUCACCCACCAGCUACUCUGACUGGUCCUGUCUCGGCCCUUCUGUGCUUAAGGCCUGGUAGUGAGGAAAGCUGUGGGGCAGGAAGGCCUUGUCUGAUCGACAUUUGGCGUGGACACCCUUCCCAGGCACAGAAUUUCAAUGCCAGUUCUGUCUCUUCUGAAGCAUUUUUAUAGAUCCUUCCACGAUCUCCCGUGGGUGAGAAGCUCUCGAAACGCAUCUGGAUGUGUGCCUCAUGACUGCUCACAGUCCACCCCCAUCUGAGGGGUCAGCCUCCCCCAGGGCAGUCCCCUUGGACAGAGUCCAUCCCCAGUCUGCCCCUUUCUAUGGGAUCCUUAUCUGAGCGCAGGACAUACAACUCACGACCAAUGAAACUCUCUACUCCAUGGCUCGUGGGCAGCCAGCUAAAGACUCUCUCUCUCCAGAUGUUGUAUGCAUUUCUUCAUACUCCAGGGGACGCACAAUAACUUCUCUGACAGAGUGGCAGACAGUCCCCUCUCCCACCCACCACCAGGCUCUCCAAACACAGUCUCGGCGUUGGCAUCACUGAGCCCCUCUGAAUCUCCAUUGCUUGGAGGUGGCAAUGGACUAAUGCCAAGACAGGUACCGCUGUCUCUAAGCCUGAUCUGCAUGGAUGACCCCACACCUCCCUUUAAGAUCCUGGAAUAUUUUGCCCCCAGGCUUUGGGCCUUUGCCAGAACUCUGUGAGCAAAAGAAUCCCACUGAAGUGUCCUGUUACAAGCAGAGAUGCUCCUUAACUUAGGAUGGAGCUGUAUUUACCAAAUACACCCUCCCUCCAUAAGCCGAAAAUGCAUUGAAUACCUCUAACCCCCUGCAUAUCACAGUGCCGUGACCCCACCCGCUAGGCAGUCUCAGCUGUCUCUCUCAAGGCCCAGGGCAUGACUGCGAGCUGCUACUGCCCGGUAUCACCACAGAGAAUCAGACUGUGCAGCAAACUUCAGAACUCGGAGCAUGGCUUCUUCUGCAUGCUUAGCAUUCUCUCGCCAUUGUCUGGUGGUUAAGUUGGGGAAGUCUGAACGUGAAGUGCAUGCCUAAGAGUCAGUGCAGCCGCGGUGACCACACUUGGCCUGAAGCUGCAUCUGAGAAAUGUAAGUUGUUCUUUCCAGCACCACACACACCCUUCUUCCUACCUAGUCCUCUGCCUAACACUGCAGAGCAACAGGUGCAGGAGGAAGCAGGGAGCCUACACACUCACUGCACAGGAGCACCUGGCCAAAGGCAUGGGUUGUGCAUGCGAUAUCUUUGCUGUGGACCCCAGCUUGGGGUCAAUCUUGUCCCCAAGGGGCACCUUUUUAUUCAUUUGCAGAAGACCUGGAAAGAAACUACAAAAUCGUGGGGAGUAAUCAGCAGCCCAAACAAUUCCAGUGACUCAGGCCGCGGAGAGAGCAAUACAGAGGGAGUCUGACUUUUCAUUUUAUUCAGGAGUAGGAUGUGACCUCCUAGAGAAAACCCCAGACCACACAGCCUGGGAGUGGAGAGACAGGACGGGCAAGGACACAGCAAAACAAGAAGGAAUGAGCAGAAUUUGAACUGAGUUAAAAAGUCAAUGGGAUGAGUUAACUUAAUUCAAAUGGAGAAGAUAACCUAUCUCCAAUGAUUUUUUCACAUUUCGAAAUAUUAUCUGGCCUGUGUUUCUUUGCAAACAUUCAAGUACAUUACAGAAAUGCUUAUGCGCUCCUUCACACUGACCGGAUUUCUGGCCCAUGGGUUUAGCAAACACCCUUUCCUAGCCUGGAAUGUUUGACCCUUUGAGGUCUAGCCAAAAGGUCUGGCUCAGGAGAUGGCCAAGGGAUGCUAUUUGCCUACGGCUGUGUGGAUGGCAGGAGUCACGGUCGUGUGCAUCUCCUUUAUAUUAAUACUCAGGAAUGACCUAGAUCUUCCUAAGGGGACUUCUGAUGGUGUUGUGAUGGUAAACUCCUGGGAUUGUUUUUCUGCUUGAAAUGUACCUGAACUUGAGGGUGAGAGAGAGCGAAACAGCCAGGGGUGGUGGUGGAAGAGAUUGGCGAUGGUAUUUAAUCUUUCCCAAAAUGUCCAGGUUGCCUGUUGGCUUCUCUCUUUGACAUAACACAAAGUGAAUCACUAUCUCAAGCAAACAGAGAAUGUUUGACAAUUCAAAUAAAACACUGCGGUGGACCACCGUCUGGGUUAGAGGGUAAAAGGAGUUCUGAAGGUAGGCACACUCUUCCCUGGGCUCUCGUGGCAUGUGGCGUUCAGUGUGGCCCCCUUUGGGAAGUUAUACAGUGGUGACACUGACCAAACCGCCACACGGCAAUGCCACUGUCCUGGAAUGACUAAGCUUCCUGAAGCCCUCUCCUGGCAGCGGGGCAGGGAGGGGCUGCCUUGAUUCCAACAAUAUCUGGGGGUCACGUUUUCAACUCGAGUUUCAUGCUAUCCCAUGGCCACAUGGGAUCCUGACCACAGAGGACAGGGCUGGACAGCUCACCAACCACCCACUUCCAUGGUGUAGAACCACACCACCCUGCAGGAGGUGGGGAGAUGCUGCUGCUCCCCACCCUGGCCUUGCAGACUCUCGGUGCUCCUAGCACAAUACCUGUGGGUGGGCUGCAUUCCUUGCCUGGCAUGAGAUCUCUGCCGCACCCUUGCCACACUGUUGUCUAUUGGUACAGGUAGAACUGCUGGACAGAAGGACCUCUCCAGGCACCAUUCAAUCUGGCUCCAAAAACACUGUGAUGACUGACACUCCCAGAAGUAAGAUUUUCUGUCUCCCAUUCUCACCAACACAAGACAUUCAUGUUGUCUGAUUAAUUUUUUCAAAUCUGAUAUGCAAAACAGUGUAUCUCUGUGUAUG